UACGGAGGGGGCUAGCGUUAUUCGGAAUUAUUGGGCGUAAAGGGCGUGUAGGCGGCUUCGUAUGUCCCAUGUGAAAGCCCUCGGCUCAACCGAGGAAUUGCAUGGGAAACUGCGGAGCUUGAGUCCGGGAGAGGAGAGUGGAAUUCCCAGUGUAGCGGUGAAAUGCGUAGAUAUUGGGAGGAACACCAGUGGCGAAGGCGGCUCUCUGGACCGGUACUGACGCUGAGACGCGAAAGCCAGGGGAGCAAACGGG
rnacentral:rRNA from 1 species